UGGGGAAUAUUGGACAAUGGGCGGAAGCCUGAUCCAGCCAUGCCGCGUGUGUGAAGAAGGCCUUUUGGUUGUAAAGCACUUUAAGCGAGGAGGAGGCUACUUGGAUUAAUACUCUAGGAUAGUGGACGUUACUCGCAGAAUAAGCACCGGCUAACUCUGUGCCAGCAGCCGCGGUAAUACAGAGGGUGCGAGCGUUAAUCGGAUUUACUGGGCGUAAAGCGUGCGUAGGCGGCUUCUUAAGUCGGAUGUGAAAUCCCUGAGCUUAACUUAGGAAUUGCAUUAGAUAGUGGGAAGCUAGAGUAUGGGAGAGGAUGGUAGAAUUCCAGGUGUAGCGGUGAAAUGCGGAGAGAUCUGGAGGAAUACCGAUGGCGAAGGCAGCCAUCUGGCCUAAUACUGACGCUGAGGUACGAAAGCAUGGGGAGCAAACAGG
rnacentral:rRNA from 1 species